UACGGGGGGGGCAAGCGUUGUUCGGAAUUACUGGGCGUAAAGGGCUCGUAGGCGGCCAACUAAGUCAGACGUGAAAUCCCCAGGCUCAACCUGGGAACUGCGUCUGAUACUGGAUGGCUUGAAUUCGGGAGAGGGAUGCAGAAUUCCAGGUGUAGCGGUGAAAUGCGUAGAUAUCUGGAGGAAUACCGGUGGCGAAGGCGGCAUCCUGGACCGACAUUGACGCUAAGGAGCGAAAGCUAGGGGAGCAAACGGG
rnacentral:rRNA from 1 species